rnacentral:rRNA from 1 species
GUUACUGCUAUUGGUGUUCGACUAAGCCAUGCAAGUCAUAUGUUCCUCGUGAACAUGGCAUACUGCUCAGUAACACGUGGAUAACCUGCCCUUGGGUCUGGGAUAACCCCGGGAAACUGGGGAUAAUACUGGAUAACGCAUAUGUGCUGGAAUGCUUUAUGCGUAAAACGGAUUCGUCCGCCCAAGGAUGGGUCUGCGGCCUAUCAGGUAGUAGUGGGUGUAAUGUACCUACUAGCCAACAACGGGUACGGGUUGUGAGAGCAAGAGCCCGGAGAUGGAUUCUGAGACAUGAAUCCAGGCCCUACGGGGCGCAGCAGGCGCGAAAACUUUACAAUGCGGGAAACCGUGAUAAGGGAACACCGAGUGCCAGCAUCAUAUGCUGGCUGUCCAGAUGUGUAAACUACAUCUGUUAGCAAGGGCCGGGCAAGACCGGUGCCAGCCGCCGCGGUAACACCGGCGGCCCGAGUGGUGACCGUUAUUAUUGGGUCUAAAGGGUCCGUAGCCGGUUUGGUCAGUCCUCCGGGAAAUCUGAUAGCUUAACUGUUAGGCUUUCGGGGGAUACUGCCAGGCUUGGAACCGGGAGAGGUAAGAGGUACUACAGGGGUAGGAGUGAAAUCUUGUAAUCCCUGUGAGACCACCUGUGGCGAAGGCGUCUUACCAGAACGGGUUCGACGGUGAGGGACGAAAGCUGGGGGCACGAACCGGAUUAGAUACCCGGGUAGUCCCAGCCGUAAACUAUGCUCGCUAGGUGUCAGGCGUGGCGCGACCGUGUCUGGUGCCGCAGGGAAGCCGUGAAGCGAGGCACCUGGGAAGUACGGCCGCAAGGCUGAAACUUAAAGGAAUUGGCGGGGGAGCACAACAACGGGUGGAGCCUGCGGUUUAACUGGACUCAACGCCGGACAACUCACCGGGAACGACAGCAAUAUGUAGGCCAGGCUGAAGACCUUGCCUGAAUCGCUGAGAGGAGGUGCAUGGCCGUCGCCAGUUCGUACUGUGAAGCAUCCUGUUAAGUCAGG